AAAGAAGAAGAAGAAGGCGAGGAGCAGGACGCUGAAGGCUUCUCACCACUGUACACGAGCCAAAACUUCACAGAGGCCACAACAACUCAGCAGCACGAAACCUGCCGACCAUUGGUGUGACAUAGAGACAAAUACUGGACCGGAGAUACUGGAAAUAAACGGAAACCAUGCCAAAAAAGAAAGAGCUAGAUCGGGGUGGGCCUUCAGUGCCCAGAAUUCGCCAAGAUUCGAGACUAAUGCGCACCCACGAAUCAAUAGUGGAUUUAAUGAGUGGGCGCAGGACUUCCAUACUAGAAGCAUUGGCUCAACCCUUCCUCUCAGCCUUACAGUUUGCUCAGGUCUUAGAGGAUGAUCUUAUAUAUUCAGAUGAUGAUGAUGAUUAUUGUGAUGACAACGAUGAUGAUUAUCAUCCACCUUAUGCUGCGAGUAAACCUUUGGAACCACAUCCUCAGAUAAAGCAGCUCACAGACGAGGAAGCAGAUAAAAUUGCUAAGGAAUUGAUAGAAGAGGAGGAUCGGCGUAAAGAAAAAACUGAAAGGAACAAACGUAAAAAAAAGCGCAAAAAAGAAAAGAAACGACUUGAAAAGGAGAGCGCGCUUAAGGAAAAUUUACCUGAGAACAACGAGGAAGAAUCUAUAGAGAAUGAGGAACCAACUCAUACAAUUGAUGAUAAUUCAGAAGAAAACCAGCCUCCUGAAUCCGACCAAUCCCAGACGGCAUCCAAGGACGGCGGAUGUAUUGAGCUUGCUGGAAAAGAUAUUGUGAAAAUAAAUGCUACAGAAGAUAAGCAACAAAAUGACUUGAAUUUAAAAAAUUUAAAUGCUGCAUCGACUAAAUUGGUCCCUGAGGAGAAGAGUAACUUGAAGUCUAAAAAAGAGAAGAAGAAGGAAAAAAGCAAAGUCGUUGAGGUUCAGCAGCCGGAGGACAAAAACCUCCAUGUUGCCGAGAAACCUGAAGUUCAGAUGAAAAGCGAACCUGAAACCAAUAACGAGAAACUGCUUGGUCCCUUGACUGAGGAGCUAGCGAAAAGAAGUGUAGAGCUGGCCAGUAUGGGGAACCGCUUGGCUGCGUCCGGACAGUACGACAUGGCAGUGUCGUGUUUUACGGACGCCAUUAAAUAUAACCCAAAGGAAUUCAAGUUGUUUGGAAAUCGCUCUCUGUGCUACGAAAGGCUUGAACAGUAUGAAAAUGCCCUGAGGGACGCCGACCUGGCGCUCUCCAUGCAGCCCAAAUGGAUCAAGGGUUUGUUCCGGAAAGGGAAAGCCCUCUGCGGCCUCAAGAGGUACUAUGAAGCCUCCCUGAUCUACAAGGACGUGUUGACUCUGGAAAGCUCAAGUGUUGAAGCUGCGCAGGAGCUGAAACGAACGCAGACGUUGCAUCUUAUGGAAAUGGGUUUCUCCUGGGCGCAAAGCACCGAGGCCCUCAAAGCUCACCCGACCCUCGAGGAAGCCGUGGAAACUCUGUUUGCCAGGAACAGAAACAAAGACCCUGGAGGGGCUCGAGCCAUCUGGGACAAAUUCAAACAGACGUCGCAUCAGGACGACAACGAUGAGGACGAAGAGGAGGAGGAGGAGGACGACGAUGACGGAGAGUGGACCGUCCUGCAAACAGCCCGUCCACGAACGCAGCAGGUCAAAGAUACCGACUGUCUGGGCCAAAUCAGAUCCAAAUCCCAGUCGCCGACUCCUCGCUCCAGGGGUUCAGCCAAACCUGAGCUGUUUUCGGUUUGGGUGGGAACCCUGGGUCCUACCGUGACUUAUCCAAAACUCCAUCAGCUUUUCAGCAGAGUGGGGACGAUUUACAGCAUCAAGAUGCUGCUGGAGCAGCAGUGUGCGUUUGUGAACUACACUCGAAGGGAGGACUGUGAGAGAGCCAUCCAGUGUAUCGACUAGAGCCGGUGCCUUCACCCUGCAGCUGAGCUAAUACACAGAGGCACCGAUUGCAUUUGUUUUUGUUAGACGAGGCGUUUUCUGUUUGAAUCUGCUCCUGUGGGAAGAGCUGCCUUUGAAAAGUUAUUUACCACAAGUCAUCAGAUUCCUGUAUCUUGUCCACUGGGUUCAGCCAGGAAGAAAACGCCCCGAAACGCAUCGCAUUUUAUAAUUCUUAUAAGAUGACUCCCCAUCUAAUUCAAGUGUGUUUGAAUUUGUGAUCCUUUCUUCAUUUAGAAAAACAUUUAAGUGACAAAUUUGUGUUUGGUUCUUUUGAGAAGAGCAAAAGUCAGUUUUUACAACUUGUCACCUCAAGGCCAUAAAAUCUUGAGGUGACAAGUGACCCAAAAUUUGCAGUUUUCUAGCCUGACAAAUGAUGAUAAUAAAAAAGUGUGCAGAACACUUAGGAUGCUAGGUGUAUUAGCAUCAAACUUGUGAACAUUUGGUCAUGUUAAAACCUCAUUCUUUACGUUAUGUACACAGCAGUCCCUAGCCAUAUUUGUUUAGGAGGACAUUUAAGGAUGCGCCACACCAGGCCUGCUUCAGUCCAACUUUAACUCCGGUUUGUUUGUCUGGAAGGUCUGGUUUGAAUCAAAACUCUGAUACGAACUCUGGUCUGCCUUUGAACCUCAGUUCAGUUGAAAUGAAUUCUGGCACCAUUCAAAUCCACAUACAUAUGGAUGGAGGCGGACCGGAUACGGCUCCAAAAGAAGACAGCUAUAGCGCAGGGCAUUCUGGGUAAAUGCAACCAAAACAAAUACCUGUGUGUGGUGCUAGCAGGAGUCUUUUACGAAAGACAAAAGUGAAAUCUUAUAACCGCUAAAACUUGAUGGCACUCCAACUUUUGAGGUGUGCGCGUCGUUUCCUUCGCUGGUUCUUGGUGCAGCGCCGCCACAGGCGAGGAGGGGAACAGGUUUGUCAAAGGGUUUGAUUCGUUAGCGUGAAAGCUGACAGUCUCCGGGACUAUCAGGUGUUGAAGCACCCUUAAAUGUGGGUGAAAACUCACCCCAAGAGACAGAUGACCUUCGAGAUCCGUUUUUGUUUCCUUUUCAGGGAAUGAUAUUGGACGGCGCUCCGUUGACUGUUCGGUAUCCCUUUAAGGGCAACACUGGAGAGACAGAGUCCUACCAACGGCUUAGUACGUACAAGAAGGAGUGCUUUUUCUGGCGGACGAC